CAAUAGCGUAUAUUUAAGUUGUUGCAGUUAAAAAGCUCGUAGUUGGAUUUCGGGUGGGACGCAGCGGUCUCGCAUUGCGUUUGUACUGCUGCAGCCCUCCUUCUUGCCGGGGGCGGCCUCUCGGACUUCACUGUCUGGGGGUCAGAAUCGGCGAUGUUACUUUGAGUAAAUUAGAGUGUUCAAAGCAAGCUUACGCUCUGAAUAUAAUAGCAUGGGAUAACACGACAGGACUCUGGCCUAUCGUGUUGGUCUAUAGGACCAGAGUAAUGAUUAAGAGGGACAGUCGGGGGCAUUCGUAUUCCGUUGUCGGAGGUGAAAUUCUUGGAUUUACGGAAGACGAACAUCUGCGAAAGCAUUUGCCAAGGAUGUUUUCAUUGA
rnacentral:rRNA from 1 species